rnacentral:rRNA from 1 species
UACAGAGGUCUCAAGCGUUGUUCGGAUUCAUUGGGCGUAAAGGGUGCGUAGGCGGCGCGGUAAGUCGGGUGUGAAAUCUCGGAGCUUAACUCCGAAACUGCAUUCGAUACUGCCGUGCUUGAGGACUGGAGAGGAGACUGGAAUUUACGGUGUAGCGGUGAAAUGCGUAGAUAUCGGGAGGAACACCCGUAGCGAAGGCGGCACUCUGGGCCGGUACUGACGCUGAGGAGCGAAAGCGUGGGGAGCAAACAGG